rnacentral:rRNA from 1 species
UACGUAGGGUGCAAGCGUUAAUCGGAAUUACUGGGCGUAAAGGGCUCGUAGGCGGCCAACUAAGUCAUACGUGAAAUCCCUCGGCUUAACCGGGGAACUGCGUCUGAUACUGGAUGGCUUGAGUUCGGGAGAGGGAUGCGGAAUUCCAGGUGUAGCGGUGAAAUGCGUAGAUAUCUGGAGGAACACCGGUGGCGAAGGCGGCAUCCUGGACCGAUACUGACGCUGAGGAGCGAAAGCCAGGGGAGCAAACGGG